rnacentral:rRNA from 1 species
UACGUAGGGGCCUAGCGUUGUCCGGAUUUAUUGGGCGUAAAGAGCUCGUAGGCGGUUCGGUAAGUCAGGUGUGAAAUCUCCACGCUCAACGUGGAGGCGCCACCUGAAACUGCCCGUGACUCGAGUCCGGUAGGGGAGUGUGGGAAUUCCCGGUGUAGCGGUGAAAUGACGCAGAUAUCAGGAGGAACACCGGUGGCGAAGGCGGGGUCUCUGGGGCCGAUACUGACGCUGAGGAGCGAAAAGCGUGGGGGAGCGAAACAGG